UGCAGUCGAACGGUAACAGGGAGCUUGCUCCGCUGACGAGUGGCGAACGGGUGAGUAAUGUAUCGGAACGUACCAUUCAGUGGGGGAUAACGUAGCGAAAGUUACGCUAAUACCGCAUAUUCUGUGAGCAGGAAAGCAGGGGAUCGCAAGACCUUGCGCUGAUUGAGCGGCCGAUAUCAGAUUAGCUAGUUGGUGAGGUAAAAGCUCACCAAGGCGACGAUCUGUAGCGGGUCUGAGAGGAUGAUCCGCCACACUGGAACUGAGACACGGUCCAGACUCCUACGGGAGGCAGCAGUGGGGAAUUUUGGACAAUGGGGGCAACCCUGAUCCAGCCAUGCCGCGUGAGUGAAGAAGGCCUUCGGGUUGUAAAGCUCUUUCAGCCGGGAAGAAAAUGCAUGGGUUAAUACCCUGUGCAGAUGACGGUACCGGAAUAAGAAGCACCGGCUAACUACGUGCCAGCAGCCGCGGUAAUACGUAGGGUGCGAGCGUUAAUCGGAAUUACUGGGCGUAAAGCGUGCGCAGGCGGUUUUGUAAGACAGGCGUGAAAUCCCCGGGCUUAACCUGGGAACUGCGUUUGUGACUGCAAGGCUAGAGUACGGCAGAGGGGGGUGGAAUUCCACGUGUAGCAGUGAAAUGCGUAGAGAUGUGGAGGAACACCAAUGGCGAAGGCAGCCCCCUGGGUCGAUACUGACGCUCAUGC
rnacentral:rRNA from 1 species